UGUGUUUUUCAUAGUAGUGUUGUUUGUAAAAUGUAAUUAUGGAUGAACAAUUGUCGUUUAAAGAGAGUGAUGCUGGUUCUAGUCACCCUAAUGAAGAACCAUUUGUUAUGUUGGGUGAUUCUGAUAAAGAGGAUGAUUGAAAGGAUUUGUUAAGGUUGGGGUUCAUACUAUCAAAGAAAAAUUAUCUGGUGGUGGUAAGAAAUGUAAGAAAUUGACUUCUACAGCUUGGGAAACUUUUGAUGUGGUUGUAGUCAAUGGUGUUAAAAAGGCAAAGUGUAAGGAUUGUAAUAGCUUACUCUCAUAAUCGGGAGCUAAUAGAACUUUACACCUCAACAAACAUGCUAGAAAACAUUGUUCGGGAAGGCACUUGAGGCUUGCUAGUGGUCAAUCACAAUUAAAGUUCAAGAAAGAAGAUGACGGGACCACUUCUUUGUCACUUAAGGAACAAACAAAGAAAGUAUCAUUUCAUCAAGAUGUUUCAAGGCGAGAGUUGGUUAAGAUGGUAGUAGUACAUGAGUAUCCUUUGUUAAUUGUAGAUCACAUUGGUUUUAGGAGUUUUGUCAAGAGUUUGAAUGAUGAUUUUAAGAUGAUUUCAAGGAAUACAUUGAAAUGUGAUGUGGUGAAGAUGUGCAACAAUGAGAGAGGUUCUCUUAAGGCUUUGUUAGUUGUUAACGAGGGUAGAGUGGCGAUAACAACUGAUAUGUGGACUGCCUCCAACCAAAAAAAAGGGUAUAUGGCCGUGACAUCCCACUUCAUUGAUGAUAAGUGGAUUUUGCAUAAUCGAACAAUAAGGCACACUUGAUGGAAAGAAUUUGUCAUACACAAUUAAUGAAGAUUGUGAUUAUGAUAAUGAAGCUCAAGAUAUCAUUGACAUGGAUGUUGAUGAUGUUAGUAGUGAUGAAGAAUAGCCCUCUUGAAGUCUUGGACUCUUGGUAGAUGGACCAAGUGAAGAAUGAAAGAUGUAAAAUUGCAAAGUGCAAACUAUGUUUUAAUUGUUUGUAAGAACUGUAGACUUUGUAAUAUUAUUGA